GGUCUGGUAGCUCAGUUGGAUAGAGCGAUUGCCUCCUAAGCAAUAGGUCGUGGGUUCGAUUCCCGCCCAGAUCA
rnacentral:tRNA from 1 species